GUGCUUGCUUUGGCAGCACAUAUACUAAAAUUGGAACAACACAGAGAAAAUUGGAAUGGCCCAUGAGCAAGGAUGACGUGCAAUUUCGUGAAGCAUUUCAUAUUUUU
rnacentral:snRNA from 1 species